GCUAAUUUUUGGUAAAUUUUGAUGUUUGAUAAAUUUUUUGUAGUUUCUGUUAAUUUGUGAUAAGUAAGAAACUUGUUGUUUUUAGAAAAUCAUGGGUACCUUUUUGUAUGUACUUUUAGUAAGUUAAUGGCCAUUCCUCGUGAAUUACUAUGAUGGGUGAUUUGGUUUUGGUAUUUUUUGGUCAACUAUUCUGACGUCUACUUGACCUCGAAAUCGAAAUUGAUUUUCCUAAAAUGGAAAUCUAGGCUCAAAAGUCUCCAAAAAUUCUGUAAAAGCAUUUUUCUGGAAAUAUUUAGAAUUUCCCAUGAAAUUUUAAUCUGGUUUUAUAGGUUGCAUGCCAAUAUUCCAAAAAUCCUAAAAGUCAUGACCCAAUUUUGGACUAAAACUUCUUCAAAAAUGCUCAAACAAAUUUUUUGUUGAAAUAUUUGAAUUUUCUGCGAAGUUCUAUAAUAAAUUGCUAAAAUCAUCGCCCUAGUCUGAACUUAAAAUUCUUCAAAAUUGUCGACCCAUAUGUCUAUAUUUUGACCAGUUUGGGGAGACUGGAUUUUGAUUUUUGAACCAAACGAAUUUCAGAAUUACAAUCAGUGCCUUUAAUGACCUAAAAUUCGUCAAUUCUCACAUUGUAUUUUUUUUAAUUUUGAGCUCCAGACCCUUCUCUGAGACUAAGAGUUCACACUUCCAUACCCUCAUACCAAUUUUUUUUAUUGCUAGUUUAAAAUUUCCAAAACUCCAAAUUUCAUCGGAACUAAAAAAUCAUUCGCGUUGGUAAAAUUACAUUAUUAUUAAAACGGCGAUACGAAAAAAUGUUCAUUAUCAGAGGACAUAAUCUGAGCGAAAUUUUAUUGAAAAAUUUUACUCACUUCCGUUUGCAAAAUUAUUAUGACUUUCAAGUGUGAAAUAAUGUUGCAAUUUCAACACUUCAAUUAUAAAAAAAUUGUGCAAUUUAUGCCGAAAUGAUUAGCACUAUGGUGCUAAUUAACGAAACAAUUUUUUAUUUCAUCUUGAUCCAUUGCCUUAGGGUAGAUAGGUAUUUAAUCAGUAUUAAAACAAUACGUGAACGACAAGACAUCAAAUAACUCAAGUGCUUGGUUUUUGAAACUUGGGACUUUCGAAAUUGAUAUACCUAUUUCUCAGUUGAAUUAUUUUGCAAUGAUGUAAAUCUGAAGUGUAAAUAUCGAUGAGAGUGUCAAAAAUGAAUGCCAACGUAUUAAUUUAUUUUUUUGCAGUUUUCAUAAGUUGUGCGGUAAGAUUCGAGCUUCAUUAAUAAUUAUGCACCUUGAUUUGAAAUAAAAUUUCAUACAAAUGAGCCCAUAUAUUGUACCUAACAGAAUUCCCAAUCGAUUCAAUAUGCAAAUAGGUUUCGUAAUCUUAGCAUUACAUCAGAUACGGGUGAUAUUUAUUUAAUGAAUGUGACCAUACAUCGCAAAGAUCUGGAUCACUGCUUGGCAAUAAAAGCCAACAUUACAAAAGAUGUAAAAGUUAAAUCUGUGAGUAGGUACCUAUACUUAAAGGUUUACUUAAUAUGUUACCUACCAAAUAAACUCCUUAAUUAAAAGGAAAAAUGAGACCCAAUGGGCUACUUUCAACAUUUUCUUACAGCUUCAAGUCACACUUUUCAGAUGCGUUUAUGAGAAAUCAGCGUGCGAGUAUUUCCAGAAAUGGACAUUUAAUAGAAAAAUAAAAACAUUUGUUCGCAUGAAAAAUCGUCUUUGGUCUCCGGCAAUUGAAAGUAUAAAGCCGCCGGUAGAUUUUCCAAUUCUUCGAAAAGGAAUUUACGAAACUAAAGACGCGAGCUUCGAUGCGACAGCUGUUCUCUUAUUUUAUCCAGAGGCAAUCAAUUAUUAUUUUCAAGUAGAAAUUGUACUAGUCAAUUUCAAUGAUGAAAGAGCUGUUAUUAUAUGGACCGAAACAUCUAUUCACUCAUUCGUCAAAAGAGAUAGAACUCGUACUCGUGGGAAUUCUCCAACAGUGGAAUCAUAGAUUACCUAGAAUGACUUUUCAAAUGAACUAAUUUUACACAAAAAGUUUUCUAUAGCUCUUGAUGUUUACAAAUUUGACAUUAAAAAUUAAAUUAAA